GGAGCAAGUGCUAGUGUUCUCUCAUAUAGUGUCCUCUCUCUGACUUUCAAGGGUUUUCUCCAAACUUGGAAAGUUCAACUCAGAAUGUAUAAAUUAUGAGAACAUGAGAUUUUUACAGGGCAGUAUUUACAAAGAGCAACAUUCUGUAUCCCACAUAUACAGAGUCUAUAUUAGCAUGUUUAGUUAUUAUUCAGUUUAUUUCUGUUUCAUAAAAGAUACAUUUCUGUUUCUGUAUAGCAUCAACUUGUACAUAACUUGACUCCUAAGUAUACAAAUCAAUUAAUCAAAUAAUAUUGUGCAAUGUUUC
rnacentral:lncRNA from 1 species